rnacentral:rRNA from 1 species
CCUACGGUAGGCAGCAGUGAGGAAUAUUGGUCAAUGGACGAGAGUCUGAACCAGCCAAGCCGCGUGAAGGAUGACGGCCCUAUGGGUUGUAAACUUCUUUUAUAGGGGAAUAAAACGAGGCACGUGUGCCUUUGUGCAUGUACUUUAUGAAUAAGCAUCGGCUAACUCCGUGCCAGCAGCCGCGGUAAUACGGAGGAUCCGAGCGUUAUCCGGAUUUAUUGGGUUUAAAGGGAGCGUAGAUGGGUUGUUAAGUCAGUUGUGAAAGUUUGGGGCUCAACCGUAAAAUUGCAAUUGAUACUGGCAGUCUUGAGUACAGGUGAGGUAGGCGGAAUUCGUGGUGUAGCGGUGAAAUGCGUAGAUAUCACGAAGAACCCCGAGUGCGAAGGCAGCUUACUAGACUGUGACUGACAGUGAUGCACGAAAGUGUGGGUAUCAAACAGGAUUAGAUACCCGGGUAGUC